UACAGAGGGUGCAAGCGUUGUUCGGAAUUAUUGGGCGUAAAGCGCGUGUAGGCGGCUUAGCAAGUCGGACGUGAAAUCCCUCGGCUUAACCGGGGAACUGCGUCCGAUACUGGAUGGCUUGAGUUUGGGAGAGGGAUGCGGAAUUCCAGGUGUAGCGGUGAAAUGCGUAGAUAUCUGGAGGAACACCGGUGGCGAAGGCGGCAUCCUGGACCAACACUGACACUGAGGAGCGAAAGCCAGGGGAGCAAACGGG
rnacentral:rRNA from 1 species